UAAAAUAAGUUGGUCAAUUCAAUUUUCUCGAAUUAAGAAGAGCUAUGGCCUUAUAUAUUUAAUUGUAGCAAAAAUUUUUUUCAUAGGGUUAUGGGAAUGAUAUGUUAGUCGUUUUUUAUGAUAUCUAGUUUCUUAAGAAAUAAAUUUAAUUUAGUUUUUUAAAUGUGCAGUGUUGAUUUAUUAGCUUUGUAUUUUAAAAAUUUAAUGUUUCUAGGGAUGAGCUUAGAAGCAGAGCUUUAAAAUUGUUUGCUUGUUAUUAAAAGUUAGUAGAAUUGGAAAUGUUUAUCUUUAGUUUGUUAUAAUUAACUUUUGAUUAGAUAAGAUUUAUAUUUUGGUUUAGAUUUUUUAUUAAGAUUAUAAGUUGAAUGAUAUAUUUUAUGUAAUAAUGAUAAAAUUAGUAUAUAUGAGGAUAUAUAGUUAAGAAGGAUUUUGAGGUUGAAUUAAGGAACUCGGCAAAUAUAUUUUUCGCCUGUUUAUUAAAAACAUGUCUUUUUGAUUAUAAUUUAAAGUCUGGCCUGCCCAAUGAGGAUUUGAAUGGCCGCGGUAAUUUGACCGUGCAAAGGUAGCAUAGUCAUUAGUUUUUUAAUUGAAAGCUGGAAUGAAUGGUUGGACGAGAAAAUAACUGUCUCAAUUUAAUUGAGAGUAGAAUUUUAUUUCUAAGUAAAAAAGCUUAUAUAAGUUUAAAAGACGAGAAGACCCUAUAGAAUUUUAUAGGUGCGCGCUUGUGUUAUGGUUAGAAUUAUAAGUUGCUGAAGUGUAGGGCUAUUUUGUUGGGGCGAUGGAAAAAUUUAUUGAACUUUUUUUAUGUAUGGUCAUUGAUUUAUGUGUGGUUGAUCCGUUUUUUACGAUUAAAAGAUUAAAUUACCUUAGGGAUAACAGCGUAAUUUUUUUUAGAGUUCUAAUCGAAAAAAGAGUUUGCGACCUCGAUGUUGGAUUAAAAUUAACUUUUGGUGUAGGGGCUAAAAGGUUAGGUCUGUUCGAC
rnacentral:rRNA from 1 species